AGUCGAACGGCAGCACGGGAGCAAUCCUGGUGGCGAGUGGCGAACGGGUGAGUAAUACAUCGGAACGUGUCCUGUAGUGGGGGAUAGCCCGGCGAAAGCCGGAUUAAUACCGCAUACGCUCUACGGAGGAAAGGGGGGGAUCUUAGGACCUCUCGCUACAGGGGCGGCCGAUGGCAGAUUAGCUAGUUGGUGGGGUAAAGGCCUACCAAGGCGACGAUCUGUAGCUGGUCUGAGAGGACGACCAGCCACACUGGGACUGAGACACGGCCCAGACUCCUACGGGAGGCAGCAGUGGGGAAUUUUGGACAAUGGGCGCAAGCCUGAUCCAGCAAUGCCGCGUGUGUGAAGAAGGCCUUCGGGUUGUAAAGCACUUUUGUCCGGAAAGAAAACCUCUGGGUUAAUACCCCGGGGGGAUGACGGUACCGGAAGAAUAAGCACCGGCUAACUACGUGCCAGCAGCCGCGGUAAUACGUAGGGUGCAAGCGUUAAUCGGAAUUACUGGGCGUAAAGCGUGCGCAGGCGGUUUGCUAAGACAGAUGUGAAAUCCCCGGGCUUAACCUGGGAACUGCAUUUGUGACUGGCAGGCUAGAGUAUGGCAGAGGGGGGUAGAAUUCCACGUGUAGCAGUGAAAUGCGUAGAGAUGUGGAGGAAUACCGAUGGCGAAGGCAGCCCCCUGGGCCAAUACUGACGCUCAUGCACGA
rnacentral:rRNA from 1 species